rnacentral:misc_RNA from 1 species
GGAAGUAAAAGCCGUAACAAGGUUUCCGUAGGUGAACCUGCGGAAGGAUCAUUCAUAAUAAAGUGUUUUAUGGCACUUUUUAAAAAUCCAUAUCCACCUUGUGUGCAAUGUUAGAUCUCGUCAAUCUUGGCGAGAUUUUUAUACACCAACUCAUUCUUUAACUAAUUUGUCUGAAAAAUAUUAUGAAUACUUAAUUCAAAAUACAACUUUCAACAACGGAUCUCUUGGCUCUC